rfam:Phytophthora nicotianae strain race 0 contig1664, whole genome shotgun sequence.
GCCGGUGUAGCUUAACGGGAAAGCUGGAGACUGUGUCUCCAGAUGUCGGUUCGAUUCCGUGCCGCUGGCU